GAUGAACGCUGGCGGCGUGCCUAAUACAUGCAAGUCGAGCGAACAGAUAAGGAGCUUGCUCCUUUGACGUUAGCGGCGGACGGGUGAGUAACACGUGGGUAACCUACCUAUAAGACUGGGAUAACUUCGGGAAACCGGAGCUAAUACCGGAUAAUAUUUCGAACCGCAUGGUUCGAUAGCGAAAGAUGGUUUUGCUAUCACUUAUAGAUGGACCCGCGCCGUAUUAGCUAGUUGGUAAGGUAACGGCUUACCAAGGCGACGAUACGUAGCCGACCUGAGAGGGUGAUCGGCCACACUGGAACUGAGACACGGUCCAGACUCCUACGGGAGGCAGCAGUAGGGAAUCUUCCGCAAAGGGCGAAAGCCUGACGGAGCAACGCCGCGUGAGUGAUGAAGGUCUUCGGAUCGUAAAACUCUGUUAUUAGGGAAGAACAUACGUGUAAGUAACUGUGCACGUCUUGACGGUACCUAAUCAGAAAGCCACGGCUAACUACGUG
rnacentral:rRNA from 1 species